GUGGGGAAUAUUGGACAAUGGGCGAAAGCCUGAUCCAGCCAUGCCGCGUGUGUGAAGAAGGUCUUCGGAUUGUAAAGCACUUUAAGUUGGGAGGAAGGGCAGUAAGUUAAUACCUUGCUGUUUUGACGUUACCGACAGAAUAAGCACCGGCUAACUUCGUGCCAGCAGCCGCGGUAAUACGAAGGGUGCAAGCGUUAAUCGGAAUUACUGGGCGUAAAGCGCGCGUAGGUGGUUCAGCAAGUUGAAGGUGAAAUCCCCGGGCUCAACCUGGGAACUGCCUCCAAAACUACUGAGCUAGAGUACGGUAGAGGGUAGUGGAAUUUCCUGUGUAGCGGUGAAAUGCGUAGAUAUAGGAAGGAACACCAGUGGCGAAGGCGACCACCUGGACUGAUACUGACACUGAGGUGCGAAAGCGUGGGGAGCAA
rnacentral:rRNA from 1 species